rnacentral:rRNA from 1 species
UACGUAGGGGGCGAGCGUUGUCCGGAUUUAUUGGGCGUAAAGAGCUCGUAGGCGGUUUGGCAAGUCGGGUGUGAAAACUCCGGGCUCAACUCGGAGACGCCACUCGAUACUGCUAUGACUCGAGUCCGGUAGGGGAGUGCGGAAUUCCUGGUGUAGCGGUGAAAUGCGCAGAUAUCGGGAGGAACACCAGCGGCGAAGGCGGCACUCUGGGCUGGAACUGACGCUGAGGAGCGAAAGCGUGGGUAGCAAACAGG